GGACGGGUGAGUAAUGCCUGGGAAAUUGCCCUGAUGUGGGGGAUAACCAUUGGAAACGAUGGCUAAUACCGCAUAAUGUCUACGGACCAAAGAGGGGGACCUUCGGGCCUCUCGCUUCAGGAUAUGCCCAGGUGGGAUUAGCUAGUUGGUGAGGUAAUGGCUCACCAAGGCGACGAUCCCUAGCUGGUCUGAGAGGAUGAUCAGCCACACUGGAACUGAGACACGGUCCAGACUCCUACGGGAGGCAGCAGUGGGGAAUAUUGCACAAUGGGCGCAAGCCUGAUGCAGCCAUGCCGCGUGUAUGAAGAAGGCCUUCGGGUUGUAAAGUACUUUCAGUCGUGAGGAAGGCGUUGAAGUUAAUANNUUCNUCGNUNNACGUUAGCGACAGAAGAAGCACCGGCUAACUCCGUGCCAGCAGCCGCGG
rnacentral:rRNA from 1 species